rnacentral:rRNA from 1 species
UAGGGAAUCUUCCACAAUGGACGAAAGUCUGGUGGAGCAACGCCGCGUGAGUGAAGAAGGGUUUCGGCUCGUAAAACUCUGUUGUUAAAGAAGAACAUAUCUGAGAGUAACUGUUCAGGUAUUGACGGUAUUUAACCAGAAAGCCACGGCUAAAUACGUGCCAC